rnacentral:lncRNA from 1 species
CUGCGGGGGGUUUUGGUGUCAUUUUUUGAACCCAAAACACAAUGGUGUAAUAUGAGUAUCAAAAUUAUAGUAAUGAUGUGUAGAUUGUGUUUUUGAUAACUUGUCACCUUGAAGAAGUUUCUUGAAAAGGAAAAUCAAAGGUUUAGCGGUUCGUGGGCUUUCUUUGAAUUUGAGGUAGGUUAGGCUUACUUCUUAUUAGAUUGGGCUGUGUUAUAGUAUAGUUGUGAGAUU